UACGAAGGGUGCAAGCGUUGCUCGGAAUUAUUGGGCGUAAAGCGCACGUAGGCGGCUUGGCAAGUCGGAUGUGAAAUCCCUCGGCUCAACCAAGGAAGUGCAUCCGAAACUGCUGAGCUUGAGUACUUAAGAGGAGCGCGGAAUUCCCGGUGUAGAGGUGAAAUUCGUAGAUAUCGGGAGGAACACCAGUGGCGAAGGCGGCGAUCUGGGAAGAUACUGACGCUGAGGUGCGAAAGCGUGGGGAGCGAACAGG
rnacentral:rRNA from 1 species